rnacentral:rRNA from 1 species
GAUGAACGCUGGCGGCGUGCCUAAUACAUGCAAGUCGAGCGAACGGACGAGAAGCUUGCUUCUCUGAUGUUAGCGGCGGACGGGUGAGUAACACGUGGAUAACCUACCUAUAAGACUGGGAUAACUUCGGGAAACCGGAGCUAAUACCGGAUGAUAUUUUGAACCGCAUGGUUCAAAAGUGAAAGACGGUCUUGCUGUCACUUAUAGAUGGAUCCGCGCUGCAUUAGCUAGUUGGUAAGGUAACGGCUUACCAAGGCAACGAUGCAUAGCCGACCUGAGAGGGUGAUCGGCCACACUGGAACUGAGACACGGUCCAGACUCCUACGGGAGGCAGCAGUAGGAAUCUUCCGCAAUGGGCGAAAGCCUGACGGAGCAACGCCGCGUGAGUGAUGAAGGUCUUCGGAUCGUAAAACUCUGUUAUUAGGGAAGAACAUAUGUGUAAGUAACUGUGCACAUCUUGACGGUACCUAAUCAGAAAGCCACGGCUAACUACGUG